rnacentral:rRNA from 1 species
GAUGAACGCUAGCGGGAGGCCUAACACAUGCAAGCCGAGCGGUAUUUCUUCUUCGGAAGAGAGAGAGCGGCGUACGGGUGCGGAACACGUGUGCAACCUGCCUUUAUCUGGGGGAUAGCCUUUCGAAAGGAAGAUUAAUACCCCAUAAAUAUAUUUGAUGGCAUCAUUAGAUAUUGAAAACUCCGGUGGAUAGAGAUGGGCACGCGCAAGAUUAGAUAGUUGGUGGGGUAACGGCCCACCAAGUCGAUGAUCUUUAGGGGCCUGAGAGGGUGAUCCCCCACACUGGUACUGAGACACGGACCAGACUCCUACGGGAGGCAGCAGUGAGGAAUAUUGGACAAUGGGUGAGAGCCUGAUCCAGCCAUCCCCGCGUGAAGGAAUAAGGUCCUAUGGAUUGUAAACUUCUUUUCUACAGGGAUAAACCUAUUUACGUGUAAAUAGCUAGAAGGUACUGUAGGAAUAAGCACCGGCUAACUCCGUGCCAGCAGCCG